UACGUAGGGGGCAAGCGUUGUCCGGAUUUAUUGGGCGUAAAGAGCGUGUAGGCGGCCAGACAGGUCCGUUGUGAAAACUCGAGGCUCAACCUCGAGAUGUCGAUGGAAACCGUCUGGCUAGAGUCCGGAAGAGGAGUGUGGAAUUCCUGGUGAGCGGUGAAAUGCGCAGAUAUCAGGAGGAACACCAAUUGCGAAGGCAG
rnacentral:rRNA from 1 species